rnacentral:rRNA from 1 species
AUUGAACGCUGGCGGCAGGCCUAACACAUGCAAGUCGGGCGGAGCGGCGGACGGGUGAGUAAUGUAUGGGGAUCUGCCUGAUGGAGGGGGAUAACUACUGGUAACGGUAGCUAAUACCGCAUACCCUCAGGUGAACCCAUAUGGGAUUAGCUUGUAGGUAAGGUAACGGCUAACCAAGGCGACGUUCCCUAGCUGGUCUGAGAGGAGGAUCAGCAACACUGGGACUGAGACACGGCCCAGACUCCUACGGAAGGCAGCAGUGGGGAAUAUUGGACAAUGGGCGAAAGCCUGAUCCAGCCAUGCCGCGUGUGUGAAGAAGGUCAUCGGAUUGUAAAGCACUUUAAGUUGGGAGGCGUUACCAACAGAAUAAGCACCGGCUAACUUCGUGCCAGCAGCCGCGGUAAUAC